rnacentral:rRNA from 1 species
ACGAACGCUGGCGGCGUGCUUAACACAUGCAAGUCGAACGGAAAGGCCCUGCUUUUGUGGGGUGCUCGAGUGGCGAACGGGUGAGUAACACGUGAGUAACCUGCCCUUGACUUUGGGAUAACUUCAUGAAACUGGGGCUAAUACCGGAUAGGAGCUCCUGCUGCAUGGUGGGGGUUAGAAAGUUUCGGCGGUUGGGGAUGGACUCGCGGCUUAUCAGCUUGUUGGUGGGGUAGUGGCUUACCAAGGCUUUGACGGGUAGCCGGCCUGAGAGGGUGACCGGCCACAUUGGGACUGAGAUACGGCCCAGACUCCUACGGGAGGCAGCAGUGGGGAAUAUUGCACAAUGGGCGGAAGCCUGAUGCAGCAACGCCGCGUGCGGGAUGACGGCCUUCGGGUUGUAAACCGCUUUCGCCUGUGACGAAGCGUGAGUGACGGUAAUGGGUAAAGAAGCACCGGCUAACUACGUG